CCUACGGGAGACAGCAGUGAGGAAUAUUGGUCAAUGGGCGAGAGCCUGAACCAGCCAAGUCGCGUGAAGGAUGAAGGAUCUAUGGUUUGUAAACUUCUUUUAUAUGGGAAUAAAGUGAGGAACGUGUUCCUUUUUGUAUGUACCAUAUGAAUAAGCAUCGGCUAACUCCGUGCCAGCAGCCGCGGUAAUACGGAGGAUGCGAGCGUUAUCCGGAUUUAUUGGGUUUAAAGGGUGCGUAGGUGGUUAAUUAAUUCAGCGGUGAAAGUUUGUGGCUCAACCAUAAAAUUGCCGUUGAAACUGGUUGACGUGAGGAUAUUUGAGGUAGGCGGAAUGCGUGGUGUAGCGGUGAAAUGCAUAGAUAUCACGCAGAACUCCGAUUGCGAAGGCAGCUUACUAAACUAUAACUGACACUGAAGCACGAAAGCGUGGGGAUCAAACAGGAUUAGAUACCCCUGUAGUC
rnacentral:rRNA from 1 species